AACGAACGCUGGCGGCAUGCCUAACACAUGCAAGUCGAACGAGACCUUCGGGUCUAGUGGCGCACGGGUGCGUAACGCGUGGGAACCUGCCCUUAGGUUCGGAAUAACUCCCCGAAAGGGGUGCUAAUACCGGAUAAUGUCUUCGGACCAAAGAUUUAUCGCCUUUGGAUGGGCCCGCGUUGGAUUAGCUAGUUGGUAGGGUAAAAGCCUACCAAGGCGCCGAUCCAUAGCUGGUCUGGGAGGAUGAUCAGCCACACUGGGACUGAGACACGGCCCAGACUCCUACGGGAGGCAGCAGUGGGGAAUAUUGGACAAUGGGCGAAAGCCUGAUCCAGCAAUGCCGCGUGAGUGAUGAAGGCCUUAGGGUUGUAAAGCUCUUUUACCCGGGAUGAUAAUGACAGUACCGGGAGAAUAAGCGCCGGCUAACUACGUG
rnacentral:rRNA from 1 species